rnacentral:lncRNA from 1 species
GUGACGUCUGUAACUGCCUGGUAAUGGGCCGUUCGGGGCCAUACGGAGUUUGUUACGGAGAGUAGUGGUGUCAGGGGGUCGUUCAGGGCCACGUGGAGUUUGUUAUGGAGAGUGGAGUGGUGUCCGUUGUCGCGACUUGCCAGAGAGUGGUGGAGCCACGUGGAAUCCAUUACAGAGAGUGGAGUAGGGUAGUGGCCAUUGUCAUGACUUGCCAGAG